GACGAACGCUGGCGGCGUGCUUAACACAUGCAAGUCGAACGGUGAACCAGAGCUUGCUCUGGGGAUCAGUGGCGAACGGGUGAGUAACACGUGGGCAACCUGCCCCAGACUCUGGGAUAACCUCGGGAAACCGAUGCUAAUACCGGAUACGACCACUUCGGACAUCCGACGGUGGUGGAAAGUUUUUCGGUCUGGGAUGGGCCCGCGGCCUAUCAGCUAGUUGGUGGGGUAAUGGCCUACCAAGGCGACGACGGGUAGUCGGCCUGAGAGGGCGACCGGCCACACUGGAACUGAGACACGGUCCAGACUCCUACGGGAGGCAGCAGUGGGGAAUAUUGCACAAUGGGCGAAAGCCUGAUGCAGCGACGCCGCGUGAGGGACGACGGCCUUCGGGUUGUAAACCUCUUUCAGCAGGGACGAAGCGAAAGUGACUGUACCUGCAGAAGAAGACACCGGCUAACUACGUAGCCAGCAGCCG
rnacentral:rRNA from 1 species